rnacentral:rRNA from 1 species
GAUAAUGACGGUACCGGCAGAAUAAGCCCCGGCUAACUACGUGCCAGCAGCCGCGGUAAUACGUAGGGUGCAAGCGUUAUUCGGAAUUACUGGGCGUAAAGCGCNCGUAGGCGGUUUUUUAAGUCAGAUGUGAAAGCCCGGGGCUCAACNCCGGAUCUGCNUUUGAUACUGGCUGGCUAGAGUGCUGUAGAGGAGAGUGGAAUUCCNNGUGUAGCGGUGAAAUGCGUAGAUAUCAGGAGGAACACCNGUGGCGAAGGCGGCUCUCUGGGCCUGUACUGACGCUGAGGNGCGAAACCUCGGGAGC